UAGGGAAUCUUCCGCAAUGGACGCAAGUCUGACGGAGCAACGCCGCGUGAGUGAAGAAGGAUUUCGGUUCGUAAAACUCUGUUGUUAGAGAAGAACAGCGCAUAGAGUAACUGUUAUGCGUGUGACGGUAUCUAACCAGAAAGCCACGGCUAACUACGUGCCAGCAGCCGCGGUAAUACGUAGGUGGCAAGCGUUGUCCGGAUUUAUUGGGCGUAAAGCGAGCGCAGGCGGUCAAUUAAGUCUGAUGUGAAAGCCCCCGGCUCAACCGGGGAGGGUCAUUGGAAACUGGUUGACUUGAGUGCAGAAGAGGAGAGUGGAAUUCCAUGUGUAGCGGUGAAAUGCGUAGAUAUAUGGGGGAACACCAGUGGCGAAGGCGACGCUCUGGUCUGUAACUGACGCUGAGGUUCGAAAGCGUGGGGAGCGAACAGG
rnacentral:rRNA from 1 species